AUGGAACCUGCCCCUGUCCGGGGAAUAGCCCAGAGAAAUUUGGAUUAAUGCCCCAUGGCAUCCGCUACCUGCAUGGGUAUCGGAUUAAAGAUUUAUCGGACAGGGAUGGCCAUGCGUACCAUUAGUUUGUUGGUGGGGUAACGGCCCACCAAGGCUACGAUGGUUAGGGGCCCUGAGAGGGGGAUCCCCCACACUGGUACUGAGACACGGACCAGACUCCUACGGGAGGCAGCAGUGAGGAAUAUUGGACAAUGGGCGGGAGCCUGAUCCAGCCAUGCCGCGUGCGGGAAGAAGGCCCUAUGGGUCGUAAACCGCUUUUAUACGGGAAGAAACCACCCCACGUGUGGGGUACUGACGGUACCGUAAGAAUAAGGACCGGCUAACUCCGUGCCAGCAGCCGCGGUAAUACGGAGGGUCCGAGCGUUAUCCGGAAUCAUUGGGUUUAAAGGGUCCGUAGGCGGGCCGUUAAGUCAGGGGUGAAAGUCUGCGGCUCAACCGUAGAACUGCCCUUGAUACUGGCGGUCUUGAGUCAUAUUGGAGUGGGCGGAAUAUGUAGUGUAGCGGUGAAAUGCAUAGAUAUUACAUAGAACACCGAUCGCGAAGGCAGCUCACUAAGUAUGUACUGACGCUGAUGGACGAAAGCGUGGGGAGCGAACGGGAUUAGAUACCCCGGUAGUCCACGCCGUAAACGAUGGAUACUAGCUGUCCGGGGCCUUGAGUCCUGAGCGGCCAAGCGAAAGUGAUAAGUAUCCCACCUGGGGAGUACGUUCGCAAGAAUGAAACUCAAAGGAAUUGACGGGGGCCCGCACAAGCGGUGGAGCAUGUGGUUUAAUUCGAUG
rnacentral:rRNA from 1 species